CAACGUACAUGCUUAUGGAGGGAGACCAAUCUGGGACUGUAGCACCACAAUCUGGCCCGUCAUUU
rnacentral:lncRNA from 8 species